UUGCUAGAUUGAUGGCGAGUGGCGAACGGGUGAGUAAUACAUCGGAACGUGCCCUGUAGUGGGGGAUAACUAGUCGAAAGAUUAGCUAAUACCGCAUACGACCUGAGGGUGAAAGUGGGGGACCGCAAGGCCUCAUGCUAUAGGAGCGGCCGAUGUCUGAUUAGCUAGUUGGUGAGGUAAAGGCUCACCAAGGCGACGAUCAGUAGCUGGUCUGAGAGGACGAUCAGCCACACUGGGACUGAGACACGGCCCAGACUCCUACGGGAGGCAGCAGUGGGGAAUUUUGGACAAUGGGCGAAAGCCUGAUCCAGCAAUGCCGCGUGUGUGAAGAAGGCCUUCGGGUUGUAAAGCACUUUUGUCCGGAAAGAAAUGGCUCUGGUUAAUACCUGGGGUCGAUGACGGUACCGGAAGAAUAGGGACCGGCUAACUACGUGCCAGCAGCCGCGGUAAUACGUAGGGUCCAAGCGUUAAUCGGAAUUACUGGGCGUAAAGCGUGCGCAGGCGGUUGUGCAAGACCGAUGUGAAAUCCCCGAGCUUAACUUGGGAAUUGCAUUGGUGACUGCACGGCUAGAGUGUGUCAGAGGGGGGUAGAAUUCCACGUGUAGCAGUGAAAUGCGUAGAGAUGUGGAGGAAUACCGAUGGCGAA
rnacentral:rRNA from 1 species